CCAGACAAAUUUAAAGCCUCAAUCCAGCAGAACUCUGACAAUGAAGUUGAUUUCAGUCGUCCUGCUCCUGCUGGCUCCACUCUUGACCAGCUAAACAAUCCCUUUUCCACUGGACUGUAGCGACAUCUAUAAAAAUGUCAACACCGAACAAGUGGAGUGUACACAAUCUUUCCCAUCAAAACCAACUUCUGAGGUCCAGGUGUACUGCGAGAUGAACUCAGAAGGAGGAAGGUGGACGG